rnacentral:lncRNA from 1 species
UAAUUCAGUACGACAACAACAGUAACAGUGUCAGCAAUAAAUCAAUAUCGCCGUUGGUAAUACGGUUAAUGGGUCCAGUCCCGUAUUCAUCUGAUAAAGCUGUACCGUAUCAGUAUAAUGCUACAAUGAUAGAAGGUGGUCAAGAGGUCCCGUUACCUACGACUAGUUCAGUGGUAAGCAUUGCUGAUGUUACCAAGGUGACCCGCAGUGGUCGAGUGUUUGGGUCGGUGUUCCCAAAAGAUAAGGAGGAAUUA